rnacentral:rRNA from 1 species
UACGGAGGGUGCAAGCGUUAAUCGGAAUUACUGGGCGUAAAGGGCGCGUAGGCGGCACUGUUAGUCAGGCGUGAAAGUCCUGGGCUCAACCUGGGAACUGCGCUUGAUACGGCAGAGCUAGAGGAUGGAAGAGGCUCGCGGAAUUCCCAGUGUAGAGGUGAAAUUCGUAGAUAUUGGGAAGAACACCGGUGGCGAAGGCGGCGAGCUGGUCCAUUACUGACGCUGAGGCGCGACAGCGUGGGGAGCAAACAGG